AUGCUUUUUACCGUGGCAAAAGAAAUUUCACACCGACAUCUGGCCCAACUUGCCCAGGCUCCACAAAAAUUCUGGCUCCGCCACUGGAGCACGACCUACACGACUCCAGACGCCAUCGACUCUGAUGGCCAUGAUGAGGAUGCUUGCGCGACAAGGCUGGAGGAGAAAAACCUGACCCUGCAUGCCCGGCUGUUCCUGGCGGAGAGCAACAUGGCCGACCUUCACCGCCACCUCGUCGGCGUCGAGUCCCUCUGCCGCCGUUCUUUUGUGCCGUCUUCCUUCCAUUCCCUUAUCCCUUAG
rnacentral:rRNA from 1 species